UCUUGUGUACAUUCCUACAAUCUUAUUGCACCAGCUCCCCUUAAAACUAUGUAGUUAAGUGUGCUUGGGCUAGAGUAGUUCUUGGAUGGGUGACCUCUGAUGAAUUACUAGUGUUUUACAUGCC
rfam:Picea glauca, whole genome shotgun sequence.